rnacentral:lncRNA from 1 species
AUUGUUGGCAUCUGUAUUCUUGAUUAAUACCCUUGUUUUUCAAGAUGUACUUGCAGUAAAUAUAUUUGCUUUUUAAUUCUUGGUUAGCAGUUGAAAUGGUGAGUUUCAGAAGGUUAAAAAGGUAAUUUUGUCUUAAGUGAAUAAAACAAAUUAUUAUAACAGCAUCUUAUAAAUUAGGGAUCCCAAGCUGAUUUCUAAACAUUUCUACUGAGUAAAGAAAUUAUACCAAAUAUUUGAUUAGCUCAUUCUAUUUAAUUUUUGUUUUUGUUUUGUAUCAUGGAUUAGGUACUAGAACCACAGAAUGUCGAUCCUUCUAUGGUUCAAAUGACCUUUCUAGAUGAUGUUGUUCACUCUUUGUUAAAAGGUGAAAAUAUUGGCAUUACAUCACGACGCAGGUCUCGUGCCAAUCAAAACGUCAACGCUGUUCACAGCCAUUAUACACGUGCCCAAGCAAAUAGUCCCAGACCAGCAAUGAACUCCCAAGCUGCUGUACCAAAACAGAAUACACACCAGCAACAGCAACAAAGAAGUAUCCGUCCAAAUAAGAGGAAGGGCUCAGAUAGCAGUAUACCAGAUGAAGAGAAGAUGAAGGAGGAAAAAUAUGAUUAUAUAUCACGAGGAGAAAAUCCUAAAGGUAAAAACAAA